CUUGCAAGUUAAUACAAAAUUUCAUUAUGAUUGUUUCGAGUCCUUAAGGCUACAAUAUUGCUAUAAUAUUGCUGCAAACCCAGUUAUAAUGUUAUAUUAAAAAAAAAUUUCUUCAAUAAGGUAGCCAUUAUCAGAAAAUUUAUUGAAAAUAGGUUAUCCUUUUACCCUCCAAAGAACUACAAAUAGCUUAGGGCAUCCAAAGUCGUGAAUUUUGUUAUGCAAAUAAAUUUAUUCCCUACCAUUAAAAUACAUAAAUGCAAUCUUAAUGGCCUUUUCUGCUGUGCCUAAACCAAAUCCAGAUAUUCAAAAAGUCAUCCUGCUCGACGUUGUCAAUACAUUUGUUGUUGCCUCGACGGCGGUCACAAAAAGUAGCUCAUCUCUCGCUGGAAACCAGUUUUUAUGCUUCGCUCCCAACCGGUUUUCAUCCUGAUAACUUACAGCGAAUUUCGUGGCUCGUCUCGCUGCGUGUCUGGCUAUGAGGCUCGGAUCAGCUCGGUAUCGGCCUCAGUCCCAGCAUAAAUUGCACUUCGCCUGCACGGAUCGCGCAUGAAUAUUCUGCCCAGCAAUCUGGCCAAGUGACCAAGCCGAUUUCGGGAGCAGGGGCCUGGGGCCAGUGUCAUAUGCCCGACACUCGGUGCAGCGAAAUGUAAGGAACGUUCAAAUAAACGCGCAUUUUCCAGAGAAGUAGAAAAACUUCCACCCUCAAAGCGGCACACAGCGCACAAACAUACAGACAGUCGUACAAACACACAGCGAACUAAUACAGACAUGUAAAAUACCCAUUUUAACUGCCGAUUAAGUUAACCAGGAGAGAUUGGAUGAAAACGAGUGCCAUUAGCCCGCUAACGAAGUAUAAAAACUAAAAACCAUCUGAAACAUACGCGAGAAAAAGGGGUGCAAUACCCCCCAACCGAUAUACCCAGCGUGCCCCUGGGCACUGUCACUGUCAUUUGCGUCGCAGCGCUGCCGCCGUCCGCGUCCGCGUCGCUUUGCCUGGCCCAGUGUUUCCGCUUUCUUUCGCCUCGUUGUAAUGUUACUUUUAGUUUGAUGUCGGAGCCUCGACGAGCCGGUCGUAAGCGAAAUCGUAAGCGAGACUUUAGUGCGAUUCCGCUCCGUUCCGCCGGUUGUGUGUGCGUGUUUAGUUCGAGCUGAGGCGAAGCAGAGGCAGAAUCGGAAUCAGAAUCCAGCGGAAUCGAGAAUCAGAAUCGAAACCGAAAGUGGUUCUCCGCGUGUGCGAGCUAGUGUGUGUGUGUGUGUGUACGUGUUGUGUUUGGGCCCGCUUUUCUGCUUUUCUACCCCCGAAAAAGCAAAGCACAGCAUAAAACUGUGCGCUCGUAAGCGCGUACGUGUGUCUAUGUGCCUGUGUGUGAGUGCUAGUGUAUGAGUGCGGCCAGGGGAAAGGAGGCAAAGAAAAGAAAACCAACCCCCACCAGCGACGGCGGAGAACAGGAAAA